CUCUCCCCUCGCCUCCCCUCUCCCUCUCCCCUCGCCACCUCAUCUCGCCCAGCCCCAGCCUGCUCCUCCCUUGCUUCUUCACAAAGAAAGAAACCACGACCCCAAAGACAUCAGAGAGAGCAGCGAGAGAGGAAAAAAACAGAGGCUUAGCAGCGGCGAUGGCGAGCGACAGCGGCCCGAUGACGAAGAAGGAGCUGGGCGAGACCCACGACGUCCUCCGCUUCGGUGCCAACGACAGUGUCCACGACAACCUCGCGCCGGCGCACCCCGUCCAGGCCACCAUCCACAAGGAGGCCAAGUUCUGGGACGAGAAGAAGAAGUUCGGGACCGAGGCCAUCUACGGAUCCGUCUUCAACAUCCGCAGGGAUCUCGACGCCCAUAUCCUCUCCAGAUGUAUCUUCAUGAGUCACAACACUCCUGACAUGUAGGCGACUGGAGCGCACCAGAAGCAUUGACGGUGACUCAGUCCUCGGCGCCGCCCUCUGCUAGAGCGGAGCUCCAGUCCUAAUUUUUCUGAGUGUGAAGCCAUGAAGCCAAGUGCGAAGCAGUGAAUGCUGGAGAGAGAUGAUGCUGGAGAGAUGCCCUUCCUGUAGGUUUGCACAUAAGCGGAAGUUCCUGGGUAUGCAAGAUUUGAUGGUUAAACUGGUUGAUGUGAUGUGAAUGAGUGUAUGGAAACUGGUUGUUGUGAUGUGAAUGAGUGUAUGUAGUUUCACAUGUUCUGUUUUGUAUAGCAUAUUGUAAUAAACUUAUUUUAGCUAUUAUUUGAAGAUUUUCA